UUUCCUGGAACUUGCUCUGUAGAUUGACCUUGAACACAGAGAUCUGUGUGGCUCUGUCUCCCUUAGUGCUGGGAUUAAAGAUGUAAACCACCAUGCAGUGUAGAAUCUUGCCCCAGAGUCCCACUCCUUUAAUCUGCUAUCUCCUAGAACACAGGAUUCAGCUCCAUUUCACUUACUGGUGCCCCUUUAAUACUCAAACCACAGAUUUUAUGUUGUUCAUUUCUCAGCUUGCUAUGCUUGUUUAAUAUUCUCUUCAUGAGACUUCACCAGAGAGCAAAGUCUAUCUAUGAUGAGCAUUUCUGAGACUUCCUUUGUCAAUGCAAUUAAUCUGAGUCUCUUCAACUUAGCCUCAGACAGACUUCAGACAAGGGCAAAAUACCACAAAAACAGUCUCUAGGCCACGUACUGAAAUUCUUCUCCACUGAAACCUCUUGGACCAGGUCAGCACAAUUCAAAUCAUUCACAGCAACAAAGUCUUCCAUAUUCCUUCUAGAAUAGCCCAUUAAGGCCCACUUAAAGCAUUCUAAUGCUUUCCAAAUCCAAAGUCAGACUGUAUUCCAUGCAAGGCAGGCACUUCCAGUCACAGUUAAUUCCUAGACACAGACUCAGUGCCACACAGGUAGCAAGACACCACCCUGGAUGGCAGGAUGCACUUCAAAGGCAUGUAGCAGCUAGACUCCAGGGCACUUGUCUGGGUGCUCCUGCACCUUCAAUCUGGCUGUCAUCAUUGUCAGAGCAUGCCUGGACCUCUACUUCCACAUUUCUUACCAGUGGGAGACUCUCCUCAUCAUUGGCCACUCAGUUCUUGGCUCAGCAGCCUGAACGAUCCUGCUGAAACAGGUUGGAUCUUGUUGCUCCUCUGAGCAAAGCCCAUUUAGUGGUAUUGCCAUUCACUUUAGAACAAAAGCCAAAGUCCUUACUGCAGCUUACAUCCUGUCUCGUUGGAGUCUAGAUCUCCAUGCUCGCCCUCCAGUAUUCUAUUCAUCACUUCUUGCAGAGCUUCCAGCAAGGAAGAACUGAAGGCUUUCUACUUCCUUUCACUUCCAGGAGAACCCUGACCCAGUGGGACAGUUAAACGAGACAAGAAGCCGGAAGCCUUGGACUGAGAUGUAAAGAGCUGCAUCUGCUGGGUGAAAGGUUACUACCUUCUUCUAGUCAGUGUACAGACAUUUACUCCGAAGAAUUCAACUGUUGGCUAAAAAUCCAAAAGUUGGGCAUCAACCCAAGACGGUCCACUGGUAGGCAAGGCUCUACCAUUGAGCUUCAUCACCAGCUCAAACAAAUUUUUCAUGGAAACAAA